UACGUAGGGGGGCAAGCGUUUGUCCGGAUUUAUUGGGCGUAAAGAGCGUGUAGGCGGCUAGAUAGGUCCGUUGUGAAAACUCGAGGCUCAACCUCGAGACGUCGAUGGAAACCAUCUGACUAGAGUCCGGGAGAGGAGAGUGGAAUUCCUGGUGUAGCGGUGAAAUGCGCAGAUAUCAGGAAGAACACCCGUGGCGAAAGCGGCUCUCUGGAACGGUACUGACGCUGAGACGCGAAAGCGUGGGGAGCGAACAGG
rnacentral:rRNA from 1 species